GAUGAACGCUGGCGGCGUGCCUAAUACAUGCAAGUCGAGCGAACGGACGAGAAGCUUGCUUCUCUGAUGUUAGCGGCGGACGGGUGAGUAACACGUGGAUAACCUACCUAUAAGACUGGGAUAACUUCGGAAAACUGGAGCUAAUACCGGAUGAUAUUUUGAACCGCAUGGUUCAAAAGUGAAAGACGGUCUUGCUGUCACUUAUAGAUGGAUCCGCGCUGCAUUAGCUAGUUGGUAAGGUAACGGCUUACCAAGGCAACGAUGCAUAGCCGACCUGAGAGGGUGAUCGGCCACACUGGAACUGAGACACGGUCCAGACUCCUACGGGAGGCAGCAGUAGGGAAUCUUCCGCAAUGGGCGAAGGCCUGACGGAGCAACGCCGCGUGAGUGAUGAAGGUCUUCGGAUCGUAAAACUCUGUUAUUAGGGAAGAACAUAUGUGUAAGUAACUGUGCACAUCUUGACGGUACCUAAUCAGAAAGCCACGGCUAACUACGUG
rnacentral:rRNA from 1 species